rnacentral:rRNA from 1 species
UACGGGAGGCAGCGGUGGGGAAUAUUGCACAAUGGGCGCAAGCCUGAUGCAGCCAUGCCGCGUGUAUGAAAAAGGCCUUCGGGUUGUAAAGUACUUUCAGUCGUGAGGAAGGUGUUAAGGUUAAUAACCUUAGCAAUUGACGUUAGCGACAGAAGAAGCACCGGCUAACUCCGUGCCAGCAGCCGCGGUAAUACGGAGGGUGCGAGCGUUAAUCGGAAUUACUGGGCGUAAAGGGCACGCAGGCGGUUAAUUAAGUUGGAUGUGAAAUCCCCGGGCUUAACCUGGGAAUGGCAUUCAAGACUGGUUAGCUAGAGUCUUGUAGAGGGGGUAGAAUUCCAUGUGUAGCGGUGAAAUGCGUAGAGAUGUGGAGGAAUACCGGUGGCGAAGGCGGCCCCUGGACAAAGACUGACGCUCAUGUGCGAAAGCGUGGGGAGCAAACAGGGAUUAGAUACC